rnacentral:rRNA from 1 species
UACGUAGGGUGCGAGCGUUGUCCGGAAUUAUUGGGCGUAAAGGGCUCGUAGGCGGUUUGUCGCGUCGGGAGUGAAAUCCACUGGCUUAACUGGUGGCUUGCUUUCGAUACGGGCAGACUGGAGGUAUGCAGGGGAGAACGGAAUUCCUGGUGUAGCGGUGAAAUGCGCAGAUAUCAGGAGGAACACCAAUGGCGAAGGCAGCUCUCUGGUACGUGACUGACACUGAGACGCGAAAGCGUGGGGAGCGAACAGG